rnacentral:rRNA from 1 species
AAACUUAAAGGAAUUGACGGAAAGGCACCACCAGGCGUGGAGCUUGCGGCUCAAUUUGACUCAACACGGGAAAUCUCACCAGACCCGAACAUCUCUAACGAUUGACAGAUUGAAAGCUCUUUCUUAAUGAAGUGGAUGGUGGUGCAUGGCCGUUCUUAGUUGGUGGAGUGAUUUGUCUGGUUAAUUCCGAUAACGAACGAGACUCUGUCCUGCUAAAUAGUGUCGGCCUCUCUUUUGGGCCGACAAUUCUUCUUAGAGGGACUGGCAGCUCCUAGCUGCACGAGAUAGAGCAAUAACAGGUCUGUGAUGCCCUUAG